GGGGGAAUUUUCCGCAAUGGGCGAAAGCCUGACGGAGCAAUGCCGCGUGGAGGUGGAAGGCCUACGGGUCGUCAACUUCUUUUCUCGGAGAAGAAACAAUGACGGUAUCUGAGGAAUAAGCAUCGGCUAACUCUGUGCCAG
rnacentral:rRNA from 1 species